GGGGAUUUAGCUCAGUGGUAGAGCGCUUGCCUAGCAAGUGCGAGGCCCUGGGUUCGGUCCCCAGCUCUG
rnacentral:tRNA from 1 species